rnacentral:misc_RNA from 1 species
AAGUACUCCCUUCGUCCCAUAAAAAACCAACCUAGUACUGGAUGUGACACAUUCUAGUACAACAAAUCUAGAUAUGCAUGUCUAGAUUCGUUUUACUAGUAUGUGUCACAUCCAGUUCUAAAUUCGUUUUUUAGAGGGAGUAAAUUACAG